UCACUCUAUUGAGACAUUAGCACAAACAAGAAGAAACUUUCAAGUAUAUCAAGAACAGCAAACCCAUAAAGGAAGUGAUGGUUUCUGCCAGCUUUUGAAGAAUAACAAAUGGUUAUGACAGAUGCAAAGACUGCCAAAAACCUGAAUAAUUUCUUUGUAUCGGUUCCCUCUUCAGAAGGUGUCAGGGAGUUCACUACAUGGAUCUUACUUGAGUCAGAAACAAGAGUAGCUGUUGCCACUGCAUUAUCUAAGACUCCAUAAGCAAACAGGAGAUAAGGAAAGCCAAAAAAAGCCUCCUUGGAAAGAUAAAGAAAGGAAUGCAAGAGCUCAGGGAGGGAAAGUGACUGCUGAGCUAUGGCAUGCAAGAGGCACCUGUGACAUACCUGGUGAUGCAUCAGCUGUCAGGAAAGGCUCAUAAGAGUCACAUCAAACCCUGGGAUAACCAAGUGGCCACUGCCUCAGCUGAACAAAGUGGAGGAGGAAGAGAGCCAGCACAGCUGCUCAAACAACAAAAGGACAGAUGUUUUUCUGACAGAAGCUGGCUAUGACUUGGGCCUGUAUGUCACAGAAAAAAUUAUAAAUUAUUGUGUCUGGCAUUAGGGUUUGCACAAAGGCUUUGUAUAUCUGGACAUCCCCAGGGAGAACUGCUGAAUGCUGAAGAUGGCUCUGAAAGAGGUUGCAAAGCAGCAAGGGAAAGCCCGAGAAAUGAAUCUCCCAAUAAUCUUAAGGCUGGAAUGAGGAACUACUGCAUCCCCUGGAACAGGAGAGACUUGAGGAUGCUCCAUUUGUGAUUAGGAGUGUGGCUGCCAAAUAAAUUACAACCAUAUGGCCCAACAGACAGAUGGAUUCAAGGCAUGUUAAAGACAGUGUCAGCUACACACCACCAGGUAGCCGAGCAUACAUUAGAAGCAAAUGUUCAAAAGAUGGAUAAAGUAGAAUGCUUGUUGCACCUGGCAGAAUGAGAUAUUGGAGACUGAGUAACAGAGAGUCAAAGGAAACAAAACACAUGCUGACACUUCAGGGGAUGAGACUUCUUAGAAGUGUCAAGUAGGCCAGCCCCACUAGUUAAAUCUAAAAAGGGGACAAAAGGCCAGAGAAACAUGUUCUAUUUUUCAAAUUCAGAUGCAUGGAAAAGAUCAUGAAAGUUGAGGGUUUGACUUUAAUUUUGCAGAAAAAUCAAAAUGUAGCCUGACUGGGACAGAGAAAAUGAUAAAUCUUACAGCAUCUCUGGCCUUGUUUGACUGGAGGUACUUUCACAUUUGUGAUUUUAGGAUUUUCUGUUUGCUGUUAUAUGUAUAACACUGAUGAUACAAUGGACCUGACAAAACCUGUGAGAAGUUUGGCAGGAAAGGUAAUAGUUCCCAGCUGAAAAGACACUCUGACAAAGGAGUUGGAAUCCAGGACAUAUUUAAAUAAAAGACAGGUAAAGAGCAGCACAUAUUGGUCAAGGUGUAAAGGCUACAUGUAAAGAUAUUUGAAAUAUGAAAAUUUUAAAAAGUGUGCUUAAACUUGUCCAACAUUUAACACUCAGGCUACAUGACACAUCUUUGCUGUCCACCCUAAAAACAGCUGCUUGAUAUAUGAAGUCUGGCUGAUCUUACUUGUUGGCCAUGGCACUGAGAGGAGCAGGAAACAGGGAACUCAGGCUGAUCAGAAGCAUGAAUAGUGUUGUACAAGAUCUCUAAGGCCUCCUAACUGAACAGAAGCCAAGCCACAGUACUGGAAGAGUGAUUCAUAGGAGAUGUGUUGUCUGUCUGGGAAAAAAGAAUAAAAAUCAAUCCACAAAUGAAAAGAUCUAAUGUUAUUGAAAGUACUGAAAGGAUAGAAAGUAAAAGCAAAAACACAACCCAAAAUCUCUUGUUCUUGGUUGCAAACAACACUUGCAGCAGAUGCAUUGAGAUGGAGACUGUCCUCCCCACUGAGAUCAGAAGGACUGUGUUGGAUUCAGCUAUGGAUAAAGAGUGGCAAGCACUGACUUCAUGGAAACUGUGCACUUUUAUCCAGGAUCAAGUCCUCAGUUAAGUGGUUGCCUGGUGUGUCAUUUUAAGAUCACUCUGCAGAAGCUUAAGAAAACAGCAUUAGCUUAUGUAUGAAAAGGAUGUGUGUGAAAAAGAUGUGUGUGUUUCAGAACAACGUGUGAAUCUGAUUUAAUUAAUGACAUUUCCAAUCAAACUGUGUUUACUGACUCAAAUGUAGCAGUUAUUGAAUGUUUUUUUUGUAUAAACCACCUGUGUUUUCUGGUUGAUUAGUCAUUAAAUACUGUACACAGCAUCAAAAUAUAACCCCAAAUGCAACUGAUAUGAAAUUGUUUGAUGUAAAAGGAAUAUUAGAAUGCACAGAUUUUCAAUAACUAUCAGAAAUGCUAUGGAAGCAGCCAGAACAGCCUUGAUAGAUGUGUAUCACAGUGGCAGAUACCAGAAUGAAUUGGAAGAGGGAAGAAACUCAAUGGUAUGGUUUUCUUUGUCUGCUCAGUCACCCACAGUUGCUGGAGUCUUAAAUGCUUCUGUCUUGGCCACCAAGAAGUGUUGGCUGCAUUACUGGGCAUCUCCCAGUCAGCCUCAAAAGCCCUAGACACAGGCCUUGAUGCUGAUAAUAGUCUCAUUUGUUAAAGGAGGGGCUUCAGGGAAAGUGGGACAAACAGAUGGUAGCUGAGAUGGGUUGCAGUUAGUGUAAUAACAUUUUUCUUGAGAAUUUUUCUCUCGCAAAGUCAAACAUAGGUGCUGCCAUGUGCUGCAUAUGUGGCACAAGGAACAUGUGAACACACAGAACAAGAAAUCAGGGGGAAAUGGUCCUAGAAAGACAGAGAAAGUAGUGUAACAGCUGAGAGAGGAAAAGCAACAUUAAAGCGAGCCUCAAAAACAAAAAUGGGAACAAAGUCAAAAGAUCCAGAAGAAAGAAUCAGUGAACACUUUGAACUCAAAGGAGUUGAAUCCACUUAGAUCCCUGCAGGUGACUGCUGCCAGGCCCCCAAGCCUCCCAGGAUGUUUGAGUAAGAGAUUGGUGAGAUCUGCUACAAAACAGUGCUUGGGUUAUUUUAGCUGUGGAGGUAUCUUGUGAAAUUAAUCUGUCUCUGUCUCAGGUGUGUAGUGCCUGCUAUGCAGAUUUACCAUUUUAGCAACAAAGGCUGAUUCUGCUCUCAAAGCCACUUGAGUCUCUGGAAUAAUACAAAGACAAAGGAGAGUAAUUAAUAUUAGAACCUGUGCUGCAUCAGUUCUUCUGACUUCUGUGAAAUAAAGAGGAUAUUGAAAGUUUUAAGCACAGAAUGUGUUUGUUUCAACUGAUCUGCUGCAAAUGGACAAUUUAUACCAACAAAGUAUUUAUGAAUUAUUGGAUGCAAAAAUUACCUGUUGUAUAGUGUUGUAUUUAAUUCUCUUCUGUCUGCUUCACAGUUUCACAGUCCCUGAAUAACUCUUGGGGUUAUGUUCCCUCUCAAAUCCCUUCCAUAUUAUAUCCACUACUGUGUAUUUUUCUCUUUGUUUAACUCAUUGGCUUUCUGUUUUUUGCCUUUUAGACCAAUUUAUUUUUCCCUGAGAUAGUUCCAGUGUGGCUUUUCUGCGAAUUUUGUCUUCGGAAGGUAAUUUAGGGUUUUUAGAGUGAAAAUUCAGUUUCACUGCUUAAAGAAGCCUUGCUAUAUAAGAACAAAAAUGACUGAUAUACUAACCCUUUUUUUCAUCCACUUUGGUUAUUAAACAAGUCUUCUGGGGGUAAUAUAAGUUCAGAGAUUCUUGAACUUCUUCCAGAACCAUGGUACACUUCCAGUGGGUAUAUAUAACUCUUUAAUGCCUAGAAUGCAGCUGGAUGUGUUGGGUUUACAGAUACCCAGAGUCUAAUGCACAUUGUCUGCUCCAACACCAAUUUGUUCUUUUGCCAUAACUCUUACUAGAUUAUACGAUAAAGAGCCAGGUGCCAACAAUCUUAGCAAUGAUGCCCCAGCUAAAUAUUCUUUAGAUGAAAGUGCACCUGCUAGAAGUAUUUCCCAGGACAUGAAAUCAUUUAGCCUAUAAAUUCAAAUAAUGCUUAUUCUCUUGGUUAAAUUACACCUAGCAGUUUAGUCAGAUACAUAAAGAAAAGUGGGUACACAUGCCAAAAAUUAAUAAAUUUGAGUCUCUGAUCACUGACACAGUUUUUACAGCCCUGGAACUACAUGAAUUCCAGUGGAAUUACUUCAGAUUUAUACCGUUUAAGCAUGAAAAUGUUUGGAAUCACUUGUAAGGAUUUUCUAUUAUUAUCUGGAAAAAUAUUUACAAAGAUGUGUUCUCUGGCUGUUUUAUUGAAUUGUAUGCAGUAGCAAUGGAUACAUGGCUUCUCUCUCAAGCCCUAGUUUUCAGAUUUUAGGGCUGGAUAACUUUCUAACCAUGAACUGUUUCACUGUUAACCAAGUGAAAGGCUGUUGGUGCUGUAGGGAAAUUUUAUUGCCCUUAAUGGAUGCAGAAUUUCCCCACUGACUUCAGUGAGCAGCAACACAGGGAACAAAUCACCAAAGGCAGUCUAUCUUUUGUAAGAGCUUUUGUUGAAUAGUUACAACUCAGGCCUGGAGUACAGCAUUUAAAGUCUAAAUGCUUCUUCUUGUGACCUGGUAGAACUCAUAUGUUGUUCCUUAGAAAUCAGCCCCUUGAAGAGCUUGUUUCUUUCCACUGGAUAUACAGUGUUAAAUUAAGUUUAGGUGGUGGAAGUGCAUGCUUGUGUUAAAAGUGGUUGGGAAUGUAGGUGCCUUAGAGAAUUUGAGGAUUACAAAGGACUUUUUUUGCAGAUCUGUUCAAAUCCAUAUUCUGGGUGACUGAAACUUACUGUUGUCACGUACCCAUGAACAUUUUAUCAUCUUAUGUCAUUGCCUGCAAAGUCUUAUGCUGACUAGAGUUGCCUAACUAGCACUCCUGCUGGGAUGUCCAGGAGAAAAGAGGGCUGAAAAACUGGCUUAUUGUCUCAAGUCUUGUUGCUAUCAUGAUGUCUGUGAUUAAAUGUACAUUUAUACUGCCACUCUCACAGGCAGUCCUUUUCUAUCUGAAUUUGAUGGUUUUGUUUUUAAGCUGAAAUCCAGUUUUAUGCUGUGUGCACAGUAGGUAAUAAUAGGUCUUCUGGAAUAGUCUUAAGUUAUCUAAUGGCAUAAUUAGAAUUUUAAAUACAAAGGCUCCUUUUCCAAACCAUUACAGAGUCUUCAAAAGUCUCCUUGCUUUAUUACAUAAUGAGUAAAACUUCUGUGUGAGGAUGAAAUAGCAGCACAUUUUCAGAAGCUGUGAACACAGUUUUUGAAUAAAAGAGAAUAUAAUAGUACUUUUUGAUGAUACAGAACUAAUUAAAAGAAAUUAAUAAAUGGUGUUAUUCACAUAAUUUUAAGUAAGUGUAGCAUGGCUUGCUGUAUUAGUCAGUAGAGGCUGUGCUCUAGAGACAUACAACCUCUUCUGCUGAGGAGCUGGACCAGUCUGGUUUCUAAUUAGUUUUACCAUUCUCUUUGUUUCCAAUGUCUGCAGGAUUAUGUGGGUAUGCUGUGCCUAAGGAUGCUUUUCUGUGGAGGGGUUGUCCUCAAAGAGCAGAUGUUCCUUUAUAUUUUAAGACAGCAAUUAUAAAAUCUGAGUGGCUCAAAGUGUCAUUUUAUCAGUACUGGAACUAGAAGUGGAGAAGAAGGAGAUCCAGAGUCCUAGAAUCAAACCUGAUUCUGUGCAGCAGCUUUUCUUAGCUACAUCCAGCUGAUCCUGGGCAGGGCUGAGAAUUAAAAAAAAAAAGCUAUAAACAUGUUAAUAUGGGUAAUAUUGCCUGUUCUUUUGGCACUUUUCUUUCCUCUUGGAGAAAAGCCAGCUCAUCUUCUGUUUUUUCAGUGUUAUAGAUUCUCUUGAGAUGCUACAUACUCAGGUCAGGCUUUGUGAUUUGUGUUAAAGUGGUGGAGCUGAGAGUAAAUCUAUUAAUUUAUUUCAAUGUUGGAAGUAAGAAUCUGAACACUUACUGCUCUUGCUGAAUCAGUAAACAGAGAUUAAUAAAUGGUGCCACUCUGCAGAUUUUUUGCUACAGACAGCACCUGGAGUAAUCUUACAGGUAUUUGUAGGACAUUAAGUAUGAGUGAAUUCAAUGUAAUUCUAAACUUGCAGACUUCAGGUAACAGUGUGGAAGAAAACAGAUAUUACAGGGGGUUUUAUUGUAGUUCUGAAGCUGGAGACUUGAAACCAUUUUGGAGUGACUAAGUUUUGCUGUGAAAAUAAACAUGUUUCAAUUGCAGAUCAGGGUGAUUUUGAGAAACAAGUUUAGCUGCUGCACAAAGGUUAUAUCUGCAAGAGUUAUAAAAAUACAUCAUAUACAGGAGACCAGAAGUGAAUUGUUAUAAAGGCAAGAAGUAAAAUGAGCAAGCCAGGAAUGAAAAAGGUGAUAGUCUGGCUGGAAUAUAAGUGCUGAGUGGUCUAGGCAUCUGCACAGUGCAGAUGGGACUGAUGUAUUGCAAGCUUUUGUAAUAUCGAGAACUACUUAAGAUUACCAAGUUUAUUGCUGUAUCAUUUUUUUUUUUCUGUGAGUACUGUUAGCAGAAUUCACAGAUGGAUUUAAGAGAAGAGUAGAUUUGUUCAGAGAGAGAUGUAUGAAGGUGAUGGGCUGAAGAUUGUCAGUAAGGGAAAAACUGGGAGGAGAGACAGCUUACUGAGUGGCACAGUGCUGCAGGAGAGACUCAUAAUUGGAAGGUUGUCAGUGACCAAGGAUUAGAAGAAUGAAGCUAAGAACAGUAGAACUUUUUUUGGAAGAACUGGUAGUGACACCAUUCCAGAUCAAAGCCUGGGAGACUUCAACACUGUCCAUCAGAACAAAUGCUAAUUAACAGAUCCCACCUUGCCAUAACAGGAGCGAUGUAGAACUCACCCAUUUCUUGUCUCCUGAGCCUGAACACCAAAUGGGUGACUGUGACUGCAGUGAUAUUUGUUAUUAGCUGGUACAGCUGGUACGGCCUUUGGACAGUAGCUCUGGUGCAUGUGAUGAGUUCUGAUUAGGUCAUGCAUAAAAGAGGUGAUGAGGGAAAAAACUUGGCUACUGUUACCUGUUUUCUCUAAUAAGUAAAGCUGAUAUGAGUGCAAUCUAUUUCACUACUCACAUAAUCUGAGUCUUUUACGAUUUGAUUUUGAAAGCAGAAAAGGAAGCAGAAAUGAAAGAGGAGCAGGAAAAAAAUUAAAGGGGAAAAAGCAUGAACAAUUUUAAAUGUGGCUCUAGCAUUUUUACUACAAAAUGAAGCAAAUGAAAUUUCAGUCUGGAUUUUUGAAGGGAUUCAGAGACCUCACAAAGUUACAGAAAAGAAGGGGUUUUAUUAAGGUAAAUGGGAGUCAUUAUAGUGUCGUUUUGGGAAGCAUUGCUGAGUUUGCUUAAGUGCAAAAUAGAUAAGAGAGGAUGUACAUAAAAGCUUAAAAAGAUCAAGCAGCAAUAUAAGUGGGGGAUUUGGCUAUCAAAAUUAUCUAGGAUUGUCCAGCUUUUCUAAAUACUCCUUGUGACUAAAAGGAAAAUGAGGAGGAGCAAUACAGCCAGUUAGUGUGAUCUUGUGAGUCAAAUCUCUAAACCUAGAAGCAUCUGUUUGGAAUGGGAAAUACACUUGAAAUGACAGAGUUGUUUUAGUAAUACAUCAGCUGGAAGGUGGAGUUAUCAUGUCUGGGAGUAAGAAGGUGGAAAGACAAAACAAGGGAGGAAAAAAGUGGCUAUUCUACAUCAAUAGGUCUGCAUGAAAUUGCAUUGGUUGUUAUUUAACUAAAAGAAAAAACAACUCAUAGAUUGCUUUGUAAUCCUGGCCUGUUUCAGGAUUUUGUUACCAAAACCAGAAGUUAAUCUCUUUAAGCUACUGUUUUUCAUCUUGGUUCACAGACAAGAGAACAAAAAAAAGUGUGUUAAUGGCUCCCUUGUCCAAAGGAGAACAAAACUGCAACAACUAAUGGAACAUAAAUGCAGAUAAAACAGGAACUUUGUUGUGCAGGAACAUUAUUUAUAUCUAUUUCUUUGUUAAAAAUAUCUUUCAUGUAUGUCGAAUUGUCAAUAUCAAAAACCAUUAGGGAAAUUAGCAGGUUCUGUACACAAAUCUGUCUCUUUGGUUGUCACCAUGCUUUAGGAUAGUCUAGACACCAGAGAAAUCUUUUACCUCCCAAACACUACCGGAGCCAGUAGGAAACAUGAAGAGAGAAAAUUCUCACUGUUUGGAUAGUAUUUGCUGCUUGAAAUUCCAUGUCUGUCUGUCUGUCUUGGAAAGAUACAGUACAUUGGAAAACUUCCACCUGUGGACAGGACCUGAGCCACAGGCAGCUAAUUGGACCUUGGAGACAGGAUUAUUGAGAAUGGCCAGUGAUGGAAUGAAGUGAUGGAUAAAGAGAGGAAUGUAGACAAUUUCAGGAGAGUGCUUGGUGGGGCAGAGGAAAGUUAGAUGCCAUGGUGAAGGUGUAAUGAUGUUGAACAAAUAUGGAGAGUGAGGUAGUGUGAAGAUACCUGGUGUUGUCUUCAAAAAGGCAACAUUUCCUGAAACAUUAUCACUUAGAUCAACUGUUUAUUAAAUGUGGUCUGUUCAUCUUGGGAAAUACACUGUGAGAAAUACUUCUGUACUUCAUAAGAUCAUUCCCUUAUUGUUCACUAACCUGUUGUCAUCACUACAAGCUCUGACCUAGACCUCUCAUUAAUCAUAGCUGAAGAGUUUUGUAGUUCUCACACCAGGGAAGGAAGUCAGGGUUUUAGUUCCCAGUAAUCUUCUCUUGUUCAUAAAUAGUUUUUACUUUUGUGGGGAAAAGGAAAAUGAACUUUCAGCUCCUCUCUCCUAGACUAAACUUUCUCCUUUUGGUGGAUUGCAGAUAUCAGCAGUAGUAAUGGGAAAAGAAAGUUCAACAAUUCUGUUACUCAAAUUUCUUUUACAAAAAAAAAAAAAUUAAAACCUGAAUGUUUGCAAAACAGAAUGGUAUAAAAAUGCCAAAAAACCUUCAAUCAUGAGACAAGGUCACAUGCAGAGCUAGGUACAUUCUACUUUUGGUUGAACUUAAAGUUCCAGAUGAUGAAAUUAAUUUCAGGAUAGUCUAUAUUUUUCUUUUUACAAGCAAGAACAAAGUCAAGCACAUUUGUUAAACUAGUUGCCUUCCUUAUGAUAUCAAAACUUGAAGAGCAAAAUGCUCUGCUUUGAGGUGUUAUAAAUCCCUGAUUGUGCAGAAUUCAACCCACUGAGAUGGAACUUAGGGCAUGGCAGGUGCAGAUUUAUUAAUCUAAUAGUAUUGCUAUCUUAGAUUUAGUUUUUGUUGUUGAUUGAACUAAAUGCUAUUAAAAUAUUGUAUUGUUACGUAUAUAAGAACGCUUCUUUGAACUAUUUUGCACUGCUGAGCUGACAGGUACUUAGCAUAUCAAAGCAGCACUAUGGUUGUAAUACCCUGUUUAAAUUAAACUGGGACAUAAACAGAAAAUAAAAUAAACCAUGCAUUUUUCUUGAAAGGUCUGCAUUUUUUAAGCUCAGAUCUAAAAAGUAUUUCCAAAGCCAUUGGUGAAUUGAGGAUAUUCUGCACUAUAAGAGGUCAUUUUUUCAAUUGCAUGACUCUUCAUCCAAAAACUUUUUAAAGUUGAACAACAAACUCCAUCAAGAGGCUUUUCUAUUGAAAUCUAAUUCUUUCUGUCACAUCUUUUGCCUAAAGAAUGAGAACUUGACUAACCAUAGCCGGAGGCAGGGCAACAGGAGAUGUGUAGAGUGACUCUAAGUGGAAGUGAAUGACUACAGACUGCAUGGGAUGGGGAGGAGAGCUCAGCUCCGGCUGAGGCACACUAGCAGGAUUGUCUCAUGCCCUGAAGAUGUCCUUUGUGACCCUUCUCCUUUCCUCUCCCUUUUCCCAGGGCAAGAGGCCCCAGCAGGCAGGAGUAAGGACAGGGGAAGAUGGCAGAUCCGGAGGCAGGAGCUUAAACAGGGCUGUCCGUGCUUUCCCAGCAGCGAUGGGGACAGAGCAAAAGCCUCGUCUUACAUCUGCUCUGGAAGGGGCUGCUGUGGGGCACACCCCCGUGCAUGCUGAGGAAAGAAAUGCCCUCAUGUGCAGAUGAAGAUGGCAGAGAGCACUUCUGCCGUGGUCCCUGGAUCCUCUGCCACUCCACAAAACAGCACAAUUUGUCUGCUCUCCAGACAUUUAUUUUUUGACUGGAGGGCUGAGCACACACAGGACAGCAAAGCAGAGAAAUUAACAGGAUGCUUAGAGAACUAAUAGUGUCAUGUGGAACUACCCCUGAUUUUGUUACCAGAUAAAAAGUGGCCAAAUCAAUUAAACAGCCAUCAAACCAUCCAGUGCCUGGCUGGCCUCAGUGACUAGUUUGCAUGAAAUCCAGUUUUGAAUGCACAGACAUAACUCUUGUUAAGAUAAUUUACCAAGUUAGUGUAAGCUGGAGCUCAUGUUGUCCCUCUUAAGAACCAGACUAACAAUGAAAUAGCACCAAAGACUUUUCUACCCAGGCAUCAUCCCAUUACUUUGGUUUUUGGAUUUGAGUCCUUUCUAAAAAUUCUGGAAGAUGCCUACAUUUUGAUGCUACACAUUUCCUCCUGAAAGGAGAGAUGGGGAUUUGCAGGUGCACGUUGUGUGUACAUGUCAGCGAGAGAGAGGCGGCUGGCUCAUGGCACAGGUGUCUGUGCAAUGCAGCAAACAGCUCAGGUUGGUGGAAUCAAAUUACAUCCAGCAUUGUGCAGCGCAAAUGAGCUUUCUUUUUUUGGCAAGUGAGAGGUUUUUUAAGUGGGAUUUUUUUUUUUUUUUGGAAGCCAAGGCAGCAGGCUGUGUGAGGACAGGCUGAAAAAGAGAUGUGAGGUGCAGGCGGCAGCUGCAUCUGUACUGUUGUCAUUGCUCAGCCUUUCACCCUGCAUGUGCUUACUACAUUAUAAAAAUAACUGUAAAAUAGUAACAAUUUCUUCCAUCUCUCAACCCCUGUGAAAUGCUGAGUGACUGGAGUCAAAAGUAGUGUCUGGAGAGCAAUCAUUUUUGUGGUCAAGGAGAAGAAAGGAAGAUAAGACCCAGGAAAACACCGAUGAAGGAGAAUUAUCCUUAUUUCACCUUGGUGUUAACAAAAGCCUUAACAAGCCUGGAGCCUGAGUGCAGAAAAUGUGCUGAUACGGUAGAUAGAAAAAUGAAAAACUCUGGGCAGAAGUCAUUCCCAAAAAGAGCCUUAUAGAGUAACCAGUCUUCCAUCUGGAUAUGUUGUAACAUGAAAAGCUGAUGAAAACAUCGAACAGCAAGAAGGAGAAGCACAGAAGUGAAAAGAGCAUGAUGGAGAGAAGACGCAAGGAUGCCAAGAGGAAGAAUCUCCUGGUGACGCAAGGAGCAGAUAAUCGAUGAAGAGAAGAAGAGAGCUGGGAUCUGCAUCUACAUGUGAUCACUUGCUUUGCUUUUUGUGCUACAUGAAGAGUUCCCAUAAGAUUGUUUUCAAGACAGUGAUGUUGGAGGUUCCUUGUGCCCCAUAGGAUCAGACUUCAAUUAUCCUCAUCAAGAUAUUUUCUUUCUGUCCUAGCAGCAGUUUGGAGCAGUGGGGGCUGCAGUAUUCACCUCCAUCCAGAAUGACUGUUCAGGCUCUUCCAGGCAGUUUGUUGGCUUUGCCUCUGACUUAGCAACUUUAUCUUGCUCUACUCAAUGGCCUGCAAAUCUUUCUGCUUCUGUUCCUUGUACCAUUUGCUGUUUUCUACUUGUAUGCUGUUCUUUGCAGUAUUAGGAAGUCAAACUCUGUUUCUCUCUUUGUGGAAAAUACAGGUUUUUCAAACAGUAUUGUUGUGAGCGAUGCCUUGGAGAACUAAUGGGUGCUAGUGACUCUCUGGCAUGCUAGUGCAGGCCAAAGAGCCUGAUGGGGCUGCCACUGGCCAUCAGAGGACAUUUAUCUCAGUGCCAGGCUCUGUGGGGCUCUGCAUUUCUUCCCUCUGGAUACUGUGAGGAGUGUGCUAGCAAGAUAGGACACUUGUACAGAGUUUUAGCCUUUCGUUCUAUUUCAUUGCCUUGAAAUUACUCUUGAGCCAUUUAAGCAUAAAUUAAAUAUUCACAAAGCCAAAAAUGGAUAGCAUUCCCAAAAACAUUUAUGAAGUAUUGGUGUAAAGUUGAAAAAUGGGAAACUGUGAUACCUCUGUGGGGUUUGUGUGGGAAGAGCCCUCCUGUGGGUGAGGCCUGGUGUGGUGUGCAGUGCCAGGGAUCAGCCACAGGGUCUGCCCAGGCCCUGUUAGCCAGUGCCUGCCCCCUCACCUCCAGGCCUUGCUCCUUAGCUUGUUUGUACGAUCAGGAUGGUUACUUUCUGUACCAGACUCACUUCUUUCUGAGAAGACGAACAGACAGACAAUUUCUCUGAGUUAAUGCAGCUGCUGCUUCCCUGCCUAAAAGAUGUCAAGGCAUGGUCCCUGUUGCUUAACUGAUCACAACCAUUCCUGAAUGAGUGGAAGUGGAGCCCCCCUUGCUCCUUUGCACACCCUCCUGGGCAGUCAUUGAUAAAUUGUGAUAUAAAAUAUGACUUUCACUCAACCUUACAUCUUAACUGCAUCUGUACUUUGUCAGACACACUCUUACAAAUGUCUAAGUGGUUGUGUAGUCUUUCUGUGGUGAAAUAGUCUUGGGAUUAUUUGACCUCAAUGCUUUUUUUUUGUUGAUAUGUACUGAAAUAACCACGUAUUUGUGGUUCAAGUCAGUCAGGAUUGUUUUCUGUUUGCAUUGGAUAUUCAAGGACAGAUGGCUUCCAACGUCUAGAGCUCAAUUCAAGUUAAAAGUGGAGAAGAAAGUAGUUUGAUUCUUUGCAGGAAUUACUGUCUAAACAGAACCUAACUUCAACAGAUUUCUAUGCAAAAUCCUUUGAUUCCCAUUUUCCAUCUGUGAUAAAUUUGGGUUGUUAUUGUUGGAUUUGUAUCUUUUCUUUGAUAAACAUAUUAAAAUAUGGUCAAAAUAGCUUUUAAUCUUCUAAAAGAAAUACUGUGAAUGAAAUCCCCUCUGACUUCUAUGGGUUUGGAAGCAAUUUUCCUGCUUAUAUUACAGUUACACCAGGUUUUUGCAAUUCUUUGCUUGUGGUUCUGCUCAAAAUGCUAAUGCAGAGAUUGUGUUUGGCUCAGAAAGCAGCUGCAAAAUGGAAUUCAGUACCUGGAGAUAUUAAUAUUUCCCUCACACAGACACUUUCCCCAUUUUUUUGCCAUUGAUUACUACCUCCACCAGAGUGAAACUAGGAGUCUUGGCAGUCAGUUUUGGGAGGGAUGCUGAAUACCACACUUCUGAUGUCAGGCUUGAGAGUGUUCCCAUGAUCCUUUUGCUUUCUCAGCAUAGGACUUAACUCCCAGACAGUGGGAACUCAGAGCUUUCAGUCUUUAAGCUUCAGGUUUUGCAUCUUCCCUCAUCGAGCAAGUCAGAGCUGCAAAAUGAGACAUCACAGCUAUCAAGACCUUAUGGAUCCUGUGGUCAGCCACAGUUACACUGUCCUCCCCAGAGUAGCUUGGAUAGCCUAAGAUGGCUACAGGCAAAAAAAGGGAGCACUUCUACUCUCAUUCACACUGGCUUGAACUGUGGUUACCUGUUCCCUGUUAUUUCCUUGUGAAAAUAUCCCACUUUUUAACCUUUUUACUGGUAUUAUUAUCAGAAGGACUUGGGGGUGUUGGUUAAUGAAGAAGCUUGACAUGACCCAACAAUGUGCACUCAGCCCAGAAAGCCAGUGGCAUCUUGGGCUGCGUCCAAAGCAGGGUGGCCAGCAGGGUGAGGGAGGGGAUUCUGCCCCUCUGCUCUGCCCUUGUGAGGCCUCACUUGCAGUGCUGAAACAGGAGCCCCAACAGGAGAAGGAUGUGGACCCAUUAAAGUGUGUCCAGAGGAGGGCUACAAAGAUGCUCCAAGGGCUCGAACAGUUCUCCUGUGAAGACGGGCUGGGGGAGCUGGGGUUCAGCCAGGAGAAGAGAAGGCUCCAGGGAGACCUUACAGCAUUCAAUUACUUGAAGAGGACCUGCAAGAAGGCUGGAGAUGGACUUUUGAGAAGGGCACGCAAUGGUAGGACAAAGGUGUUGGCUUUGAACUGGAAGAGGAUAGGUUUAGGUUACAUAUUAGGAAGAAAUUCUUCACUGUGAGGGUGGUGAGACACUGGAAUGGAUGGCCUAGAUAAUCUGUGGAUGCCAGGCUGGAUGGAACUUUGAGAAACCAGGUCUAGUGGAAGGUGCUCCUGCCCACAGCAGCGGGGUUGGAACUAGAUAAUCUUUAAGGUUCUUUCCAAUCCAAGCCAUUAUAUGAUCUUCAUUAUGUGUAACCUGUGUAGUAUUGUUACAAUUUGUCAACAUCUGUGUCAUUGAUGAGUCCAGCAAUCUUACUUGUUGGUCUGUAGCUGACAAUGACAUCUCUUUGAUUGGGGCACCUGUGGGCAUCCAGCUUCUUGAAGCAAGCAGCAGCUGCCCCUCUCUGUGGCAGCUGGGCCAGACCUGGGCAGUGUGACUGGAUGCCUGGGGGAAUUUGUUCUCUUAAACACCCUAUCAUUCACUGGAUACUGAUACCAACAUUUUCCUAAGGUGGUCUGGCUGAGAGAAGAAGGCAAAAUGUAACAAUAAUUUUCUUUUAUGUGUCUGUUCUGCUGGAUAUGAUUUUGAUAGGACAGGAUACAAUAGUUUUAAACUUAUAAAAGGUAGAUUCAGACUAAAUAUAAGGAAGAUAAUUUUUUAUAUUUUUUUGUGAUGAGGUACAAUUUGCCCAAAGAGGUGGUAGAUGCCCCAGCCCCAGGAACAUUGAAGGCCAGGUUGGAUGGGAUUCUGAGCAACCUGAUCCAGUUGAAGAUUUCCCUGCCCAUGGCAGCAGGGUUCACAGCAGGGUUCACCUAGAGACCCUUUAGAGGUCCCUUCCAACCCAAACUAUUAUACCAUCCUGUGAUUCUAUGACACUGUUACUCUAUGAUUCCAUGAUUUUCUUUCAGUCUUCCCUCCCAGGCUAGGGCAUUGAGACCCUGGAGUCAAAAGUCUUAUUAUAUUCUCUCGCUUUGAAGAGCAACAUUCCUUCCUUCAGCAAUAUAACCCCAAAACAACUAAUUUAACUGGCAAUAUUUCACUUUCAGGAUAUUUUAACCCAUAUCAAAUACUCAAUAGUUUGUCCCUGGGAAAAGUGAGUUUCUCACACCUUUAUUGAGAAUCAGAAAGAUCCCCCAGAGAAGUUGUCUCUCCCUGGUGUAGGUAAGGAAAUCUUGGCACAAUGAGGAUGAAAUGCUGCCAGUCCAGCCCCAAAAUCAGCCCCAGGACUGUGCUGGGCUCACUGAGAUUACACAAUGCAAUUGGAUUGUUCAGAUUGCUUGCGAUCUUGCUUAGUUUAGUCUUGACAGUCAGACUCAAUCCCAAGUUCAGCAAUUUUCAUCUUGCUAAGCUUUUACUCGGUGUUGACACGCUGUGUAUUUUUGCCUCAGUUAAUGGGUUAUUUCUGUUGCACAGGGAGGAUUAAUUGUACCGUGAUCAUUUUGCAGUUAGUAUGUCAUGGAUAUUAAUCAAUCUGAGUCUGGAAAAAGAUGAGUAUUGAUCUGUGUUAUUUGCUGGAAGUACACUGCCACAUUUUUGCUUGAGAGCUCCCUUGCGAAAUAUAAUUUGUUUGUGCAAGCUUGAAACAAAAAUUCAGUCAGAAGAAGAGCUAAUUAAAAUAAUGACUUGAUACUAUUUUAAUAUUAAUUAACUUUUCAGUCAUUCACAUUGCUGCAUGCCUUUCUGUGAUGACUGCAGGCCCACAAAAUUAGGUAAUGGCAUGGAUUGGACAACCAUUGUGGCCAAGCACAGUGCCUGAGAGCCCAGGGAAGUGGAAGGUUACCACAGUCUGAGCACCCAUCUAUGCCUGCAUGGCAGAAGAACAUGGGACUUUGGCUCUGAAUGAGUUGUCAGAGAGUAGAAUGCAAAUAUCUGCAUUUCUCCAUGCAUUCUCCAUCCCUAUACCCAAAGAUUCACUCCCAAUCUACCAUCAGGGAGUAGCUCCAGCUUCUCUCUUGGGUACCUCUGUUGGGUGGAAGAGCCUGGUGGAGCUGUUGUGUGGCCCAAGGUCCUGCUCUCCUGGUGAGGCUCCUUGUGACCUUCCUGUGAGUGAAAGGGAGGCUUCUUGCAGAAAAAACCAACAUGCUGAUGAUGUGACUGAGGCCACCAACUGUUAUCACAAAGGUAACAGUACAGCUAUUUGGAACAGCUUUUGGGCAACACCAAUCUGGACUAAAUUUAAAAAGAAUUCUGUCUCAGUGGUUUUUCUCCCUCCCUUUAUGUUCCUGAUUUUUAUUUUUAUUU